AUUGAACGCUGGCGGCAUGCUUUACACAUGCAAGUCGAACGGUAACAGGCCGCAAGGUGCUGACGAGUGGCGAACGGGUGAGUAAUGCAUCGGAACGUGCCCAGUCGUGGGGGAUAACGCAGCGAAAGCUGUGCUAAUACCGCAUACGAUCUAUGGAUGAAAGCGGGGGACCGUAAGCCCUCGCGCGAUUGGAGCGGCCGAUGUCAGAUUAGCUAGUUGGUGGGGUAAAGGCCCACCAAGGCGACGAUCUGUAGCUGGUCUGAGAGGACGACCAGCCACACUGGGACUGAGACACGGCCCAGACUCCUACGGGAGGCAGCAGUGGGGAAUUUUGGACAAUGGGCGCAAGCCUGAUCCAGCAAUGCCGCGUGCAGGAAGAAGGCCUUCGGGUUGUAAACUGCUUUUGUACGGAACGAAACGGUCUGGGUUAAUACCCUGGGCUAAUGACGGUACCGUAAGAAUAAGCACCGGCUAACUACGUGCCAGCCGCCGCGGUAAUAC
rnacentral:rRNA from 1 species